rnacentral:rRNA from 1 species
GAGUUUGAUCAUGGCUCAGAUUGAACGCUGGCGGCGGGCCUAACACAUGCAAGUCGAGCGGUAGAGAGAAGCUUGCUUCUCUUGAGAGCGGCGGACGGGUGAGUAAUGCCUAGGAAUCUGCCUGGUAGUGGGGGAUAACGCUCGGAAACGGACGCUAAUACCGCAUACGUCCUACGGGAGAAAGCAGGGGACCUUCGGGCCUUGCGCUAUCAGAUGAGCCUAGGUCGGAUUAGCUAGUUGGUGAGGUAGUGGCUCACCAAGGCGACGAUCCGUAACUGGUCUGAGAGGAUGAUCAGUCACACUGGAACUGAGACACGGUCCAGACUCCUACGGGAGGCAGCAGUGGGGAAUAUUGGACAAUGGGCGAAAGCCUGAUCCAGCCAUGCCGCGUGUGUGAAGAAGGUCUUCGGAUUGUAAAGCACUUUAAGUUGGGAGGAAGGGCAGUAAAUUAAUACUUUAGCUGUUUUGACGUUACGACAGAAUAAGCACCGGCUAACUCUGUGCCAGCCGCCG